AUCCAGCUGAUGAAUCGCAAAUGGGACGAAAGUCGCGUCCUGGAU
rnacentral:hammerhead_ribozyme from 1 species